CGUAGGGUGCAAGCGUUAAUCGGAAUUACUGGGCGUAAAGCGUGCGCAGGCGGUUUGUAAGACAGAGGUGAAAUCCCCGGGCUCAACCUGGGAACUGCCUUUGUGACUGCAAGGCUGGAGUGCGGCAGAGGGGGAUGGAAUUCCGCGUGUAGCAGUGAAAUGCGUAGAUAUGCGGAGGAACACCGAUGGCGAAGGCAAUCCCCUGGGCCUGCACUGACGCUCAUGCACGAAAGCGUGGGAGCAAACAGGAUU
rnacentral:rRNA from 1 species